CACGGCGGGUGCUAACGUCCGUCGUGAAGAGGGAAACAACCCAGACCGCCAGCUAAGGUCCCAAAGUCAUGGUUAAGUGGGAAACGAUGUGGGAAGGCCCAGACAGCCAGGAUGUUGGCUUAGAAGCAGCCAUCAUUUAAAGAAAGCGUAAUAGCUCACUGGUCGAGUCGGCCUGCGCGGAAGAUGUAACGGGGCUAAACCAUGCACCGAAGCUGCGGCAGCGACACUAUGUGUUGUUGGGUAGGGGAGCGUUCUGUAAGCCUGUGAAGGUGGCCUGUGAGGGUUGCUGGAGGUAUCAGAAGUGCGAAUGCUGACAUAAGUAACGAUAAAGCGGGUGAAAAGCCCGCUCGCCGGAAGACCAAGGGUUCCUGUCCAACGUUAAUCGGGGCAGGGUGAGUCGACCCCUAAGGCGAGGCCGAAAGGCGUAGUCGAUGGGAAACAGGUUAAUAUUCCUGUACUUGGUGUUACUGCGAAGGGGGGACGGAGAAGGCUAUGUUGGCCGGGCGACGGUUGUCCCGGUUUAAGCGUGUAGGCUGGUUUUCCAGGCAAAUCCGGAAAACCAAGGCUGAGGCGUGAUGACGAGGCACUACGGUGCUGAAGCGACAAAUGCCCUGCUUCCAGGAAAAGCCUCUAAGCAUCAGGUAACAUCAAAUCGUACCCCAAACCGACACAGGUGGUCAGGUAGAGAAUACCAAGGCGCUUGAGAGAACUCGGGUGAAGGAACUAGGCAAAAUGGUGCCGUAACUUCGGGAGAAGGCACGCUGAUAUGUAGGUGAAGCGACUUGCUCGUGGAGCUGAAAUCAGUCGAAGAUACCAGCUGGCUGCAACUGUUUAUUAAAAACACAGCACUGUGCAAACACGAAAGUGGACGUAUACGGUGUGACGCCUGCCCGGUGCCGGAAGGUUAAUUGAUGGGGUUAGCGGUAACGCGAAGCUCUUGAUCGAAGCCCCGGUAAACGGCGGCCGUAACUAUAACGGUCCUAAGGUAGCGAAAUUCCUUGUCGGGUAAGUUCCGACCUGCACGAAUGGCGUAAUGAUGGCCAGGCUGUCUCCACCCGAGACUCAGUGAAAUUGAACUCGCUGUGAAGAUGCAGUGUACCCGCGGCAAGACGGAAAGACCCCGUGAACCUUUACUAUAGCUUGACACUGAACAUUGAGCCUUGAUGUGUAGGAUAGGUGGGAGGCUUUGAAGUGUGGACGCCAGUCUGCAUGGAGCCGACCUUGAAAUACCACCCUUUAAUGUUUGAUGUUCUAACGUUGGCCCGUAAUCCGGGUUGCGGACAGUGUCUGGUGGGUAGUUUGACUGGGGCGGUCUCCUCCUAAAGAGUAACGGAGGAGCACGAAGGUUGGCUAAUCCUGGUCGGACAUCAGGAGGUUAGUGCAAUGGCAUAAGCCAGCUUGACUGCGAGCGUGACGGCGCGAGCAGGUGCGAAAGCAGGUCAUAGUGAUCCGGUGGUUCUGAAUGGAAGGGCCAUCGCUCAACGGAUAAAAGGUACUCCGGGGAUAACAGGCUGAUACCGCCCAAGAGUUCAUAUCGACGGCGGUGUUUGGCACCUCGAUGUCGGCUCAUCACAUCCUGGGGCUGAAGUAGGUCCCAAGGGUAUGGCUGUUCGCCAUUUAAAGUGGUACGCGAGCUGGGUUUAGAACGUCGUGAGACAGUUCGGUCCCUAUCUGCCGUGGGCGCUGGAGAACUGAGGGGGGCUGCUCCUAGUACGAGAGGACCGGAGUGGACGCAUCACUGGUGUUCGGGUUGUCAUGCCAAUGGCACUGCCCGGUAGCUAAAUGCGGAAGAGAUAAGUGCUGAAAGCAUCUAAGCACGAAACUUGCCCCGAGAUGAGUUCUCCCUGACUCCUUGAGAGUCCUGAAGGAACGUUGAAGACGACGACGUUGAUAGGCCGGGUGUGUAAGCGCAGCGAUGCGUUGAGCUAACCGGUACUAAUGAACCGUGAGG
rnacentral:rRNA from 1 species